rnacentral:sRNA from 1 species
AAGAUCUAGGGUAACUAAAUGCAAUGGCAUUGGCAAAACAAUAGAAUUGGGAGGGACUUGCUAAGAUCUAAAGUGUAUACCUAAAGGAUUUGGACAGAGGGGGAAAAACAGGAAAGUAAUGUAUGUGAAAUGACAGAAUGGAUAUAGAAGAAACAAAAUUUUAAUUCUGGGACUACAGGUCCAAUACCUUCCCCUUCUUGUCGUCUUGCCAGAACAAGCAGGGCCUGCUACACUAAUAUCUAAGGGCCCUAAGGAUCUCUUUUUACCAUCAUUCAUUAUUUAACUUCAAAACUCUAAUGUUCUCUAAUAGUAGCUGUUGAUUAGUAUUUCUUUAUUCUCUUCCUGUGUAGUAUCUGUUUCAUGAUCACAAGGCAUUGGAAUAAGCUUUUAGCCAGAAAAUUCCAGCCAAUAAAGUGUCACCGUGAGAGCCGCUUAGACAAGACUGAAAAUCUACAAGAUGACAUCAGUUAAUACAGGAAGACAGCUGAAAAUGUGGCGCAUUCAUAGAGAAGGCGAGUUGGAGAAUUUUAUGCUUGAGAAGAAGAUAAAGAAUCUCUAUGGAUGUUUGAAUUUUGGAAAGAGACUACAUGCAUGAAGAAUAACGUAUAGUAGAAAUGAAUAAAACAAGAUCAAACUACUGUCAUCCAUGUAGACUGUAAGUCAGAUGGCUUUGUCUUCGUAGUUUUAUUUUUCAAACAUUCACUUGUAUUAUUUUCAUAGAACUAUUUUAACAGAAUUUCUCAUUCUCCCAACUUUUACAAGUCCACUAAGGACACAGGUGACACGUGCUACUUUAUCACAUGCUCUGAUUUCCCUGAAAUCCUUCAAAAUAACAGACAUUGAAUAACUAUUUUUAAGAAUGAUUUAUAAUCCAAACCAAUCUAGACUUCAUGUAACAUGUUGCAGUUACAAAAUGAUUAAGAUCAGUGCCAAAAUAUAAAUUUCUCAUAGUGCCACCUGCAAAUUUGUCUAAAGAAAUCAAUAAAUAUGUAUGCAUGGUCAUGUCAGAAUGC